AAGUCAGGCAUGUAGCUCAGCGGCGGCCUUGUGCUUCUGCGUGGGCGUGCGGGUUCUUCUGCCAUCAUGCCGAUGUUCAUCGUAAACACCAAUGUGCCCCGCGCCUCCGUGCCAGACGGGUUCCUCUCCGAGCUCACCCAGCAGCUGGCGCAGGCCACCGGCAAGCCCCCCCAGUACAUCGCGGUGCACGUGGUCCCGAACCAGUUCAUGGCCUUCGGAGGCUCCAGCGAGCCUGGCGCGCUCUGCAGCCUGCACAGCAUCGGCAAGAACGGCGGCGCGCAGAACCGCUCCUACAGCAAGCUGCUAUGCAGCCUGCUGGCCGAGCGCCUGCGCAUCAGCCCGGACGGGGGUCUACAUCAACUAUUACGACAUGAACGCGGCCAGCGUGGGCUGGAACAACUCCACCUUCGCCUAAGAGCCGCAGGGCCCCACGCGGUCUGCGCUGUCUCGACCCGGGAACCGCCGCACGCAGUGUUCUAGGCUCGCCCACCCCAACCUUCUGGAGAAAUAAAACGGUUUAGAGACU